ensembl:lncRNA
GUCCUGUCCAUUUUUUAUCUAUUUUCUUUUUUAUCUAACCCUUUCUUUUCAAAUCUAUACUCAGUUGUAAAAGUUAUUGUGUUUAUUGGACCUAAAAAUAAAUCUACCUGACUACAUUUGUAGUAGGUUAACUCAAUCGUUCGAGUCCUUUUCCCUGUCGACUCCUCGACACCGGCAAAGCAGAACGUCACGCUCUCCCAGCUGAUCCCCUCACGUCUGUGAGAAGCCCUGCAGCUACCUCUGCCUCCACCUCUGCUGCGCCUGCACGGAGCCCUGGGAGGCCUGCAUUGACGCUGGCGAUGUUUGAGAAAGCGCGGUUCGGUGGGACUUUGUCUGCUGCAGCCAAGCCGAAUGUCAAUCUGACCAGGAGGCCUGUUGAGGUAAUUGAUGUACCUAUAGCUGUGCCUGAUGCCUUAGAACACAGCCAUACAGCCAACACUAUCCUUGUUUUGUAAUUGUACUUCAUCGGCUCCGUUUCCCCCUCUUCCCAGCGUCCCUCCAGCCCUGCCACAGUCCCGGCUGGGAGAAGCACUCCAUGCGCUACCCCACCUCAAGUGACGCCCCCUUCCAGUCCCAGAUUCUACAGGCCUGUCUCCCCUUUCUCUCUGCCUCCAUCCAGCCCUGUCAUGUCGGCGGUUGUAUCAGAUACGAGUCCUGCUCCUCCAGGUCUCCUCCCUGCUCCUCCUGGUCCCCUCCCUGCUCCUCCUGGUCCCCUCCCUGCUCCUCCUGGUCCCCUCCCUGCUCCUCCUGGUCCCCUCCCUGCUCCUCCUCUUGCUGCUCCAGAUCAGUUCUGGCUGCCGGUGGAAAUGAGGAAGACCAUUCCCCAGCAGGACCAGCGCUGGAUUGCAUCCACGCUGUGGAGGAACCAGUGGCUGCGCCCGGACGUCCAGCUCUGAUGACCAAAAAGCUGGCUGGAGCCGCCAAGGGGACGGCGCUCUGGGUGUCCUCCGUCAGCAACGAGAAGGGGCAGGUCCUGAUCAGCG